GACGAACGCUGGCGGCGUGCUUAACACAUGCAAGUCGAACGGAAAGGCCCUGCUUUUGUGGGGUGCUCGAGUGGCGAACGGGUGAGUAACACGUGAGUAACCUGCCCUUGACUUUGGGAUAACUUCAGGAAACUGGGGCUAAUACCGGAUAGGAGCUCCUGCUGCAUGGUGGGGGUUGGAAAGUUUCGGCGGUUGGGGAUGGACUCGCGGCUUAUCAGCUGGUUGGUGUGGUAGUGGCUUACCAAGGCUUUCACGGGUAGCCGGCCUGAGAGGGUGACCUGCCACAUUGGGACUGGGGUACGACCCAGACUCCUACGGGAGGCAGCAGUGGAGAAUAUUGCACAAUGGGCGGAAGCCUAAUGCAGCAACGCCGCGUGCGGAAUGACGGCCUUCGGGUUGUAAACCGCUUUCGCCUGUGACGAAGCGUGAGUGACGGUAAUGGGUAAAGAAGCACCGGCUAACUACGUG
rnacentral:rRNA from 1 species